GAGCGAAGCAGAGCAUACCAAGCGAGAGCUCAGAACUCACUAAACUAUCAAAAAUGGCGACGGCGAUGCCGAUGAGGCCUCCUCUUCCUCCUCUCUCCGAUCGAAUUCGCGGCGGCAACAGAAUCACCAUCGCUCGUCGCUCUACACCGGAUUCAUUUCAGCUACGUCGGUGUAAAUCUCGGGAGGAAACCCGCGCCUCGUUCUCUCGAUCUCCUCGCCUGAUCGCCAAAGCUCAGAAACAGGAAGAGAGGAGAGAUGAUGCGGAGGAAUCGCCUCCGCCGUCUUACUCGGUUCUGGCGGCAAUGCGAAGCGAGCACAAUGACAUCGUGGUCGUGGAUACUCCUGAUUCUAGGGUUUUGCUUCUUGAUUCCACUCAUAAUAUUCAUAGCAUGCUGAACAAGGAGCAAAAAUGGACAGGUUCAUACUGGGAUGAGUUUGCAAGUCUUCCAGCUAUUAUACCAAAAGGCCCUAUUGCAAUAUUAGGUUUGGGUGCAGGAACAGCAGCCCAUUUGCUGCUUGACUUGUGGCCUUCACUGCAUAUAGAAGGUUGGGAGAUUGAUGAGAUUUUGGUUGACAUGUCAAGGGACUAUUUUGGUUUAUCUGCUCUGGAGAGAUGUACAGAAGCCGGUGGUUCACUUUCUGUCCACAUUGGUGAUGCGCUUUCUCCAUCUGUGGCAGUUCAAGGAGGGUUUGCUGGAAUCAUUGUUGAUUUAUUUUCUGAUGGAAAGGUUUUACCACAAUUACAGGAGGAUGCAGUAUGGCUGGAGAUUGAGAAAAAGUUGAUGCCUCAUGGUCGAAUCAUGGUGAACUGUGGUGGGGCGCAUGCUGAAAUGUUAGCCAGUAGUGAUCAGAUGCUAAAUCCACAUGCAUCUUUAAGUGGUUCCUGGAUACAGAACUCUACCGUUAGGGCUUUGUGCCGAGUAUUUCCUGGAAAGCUAACUUGGAAGAGAAUGGAAGAAAAAGAUAGUGAUAACUAUCUUGCACUUACAGGACCACUGCCAGACUUGGAUGCUUGGUCAACUGCAUUACCUUCACCAUUGAACUCUAAUGUGAAACACUGGAGACCUUGUGAACUUGCUUCCUGAUAGUCUCAUCAAGCUAGCCUUUCUUUCAGCUUUAGGUAUGAAUAGUGCAUUGUGGAGACAGCUUCUGAAGUUGAUGGGAGAUGUUACCAGCAAGGCCUGCAAUGGAGCCAAGGGAAUAAUGAAUGUUAAUUCAUUUGGCACAUCCUCAUUAUUAUUAUUUUCAGCAUAAUAAUUAGUUCUCUGAUUGAUUUAUUUCUGAGACUAUUAUGUAUGGACCUGAAUGCAAAUGAAUAUUCAUGCCAGCAAUCUUAGUGGGCAUAUCAUAAUCUCUUUCGCUUGUUAUUCCA